CUAGUCGGACGAGUUUAGACUCGUGGCAGAUAGCUCAGUAACACGUGGCCAAGCUACCCUUCAGUCGGCAAUACCCUCGGGAAACUGAGGUUAACGGCCGAUGUGGGACGCCUGCUGGAAUGCAGCGUUCUCUAAAGGCGACGCUGAAGGAUGCGGCUGCGGCCGAUUAGGUUGACGGUGGGUAACGGCCCACCGUGCCAGUAAUCGGUACGGGUGAUGAGAGUCAGAGCCCGGAGACGGAAUCUGAGACAAGAUUCCGGGCCCUACGGGGCGCAGCAGGCGCGAAACCUUUACACUGCACGGAAGUGCGAUAGGGGAAUCCCAAGUGCGAGGGCAUAUUCGCCCUCGCUUUUGUUGACCGUAAGGUGGUCAACGAAUAAGAGCUGGGCAAGACCGGUGCCAGCCGCCGCGGUAAUACCGGCAGCUCGAGUGAUGUCCAAUAUUAUUGGGCCUAAAGCGUCCGUAGCCGGCCGCGCAAGUCCGUCGGGAAAUCCACCUGCCCAACAGGUGGGCGUCCGGCGGAAACUGUGUGGCUUGGAACCGGAAGGCUCAGAGGGUACGUCCGGGGUAGGAGUGAAAUCCCGUANUCCCGGACNGGACCACCGAUGGCGAAAGCACUCUGAGAAGACGGCUUCCACAGUUGA
rnacentral:rRNA from 1 species